AGAUUGAACUGAAGAGUUUGAUCCUGGCUCAGAUUGAACGCUGGCGGAAUGCUUUACACAUGCAAGUCGAACGGCAGCACGGGAGCUUGCUCCUGGUGGCGAGUGGCGAACGGGUGAGUAAUGCGUCGGAACGUACCGAGUAAUGGGGGAUAACGCAGCGAAAGCUGUGCUAAUACCGCAUACGCCCUGAGGGGGAAAGUGGGGGACCGCAAGGCCUCACGCUAUUAGAGAAGCCUGCGUCGGAUUAGCUAGUUGGUGGGGUAAAGGCUCACCAAGGCGACGAUCCGUAGCUGGUCUGAGAGGAUGAUCAGCCACACUGGGACUGAGACACGGCCCAGACUCCUACGGGAGGCAGCAGUGGGGAAUAUUGG
rnacentral:rRNA from 1 species